AAAUUGAAGAGUUUGAUCAUGGCUCAGAUUGAACGCUGGCGGCAGGCCUAACACAUGCAAGUCGAACGGUAACAGGAAGCAGCUUGCUGCUUCGCUGACGAGUGGCGGACGGGUGAGUAAUGUCUGGGAAACUGCCUGAUGGAGGGGGAUAACUACUGGAAACGGUGGCUAAUACCGCAUAACGUCGCAAGACCAAAGAGGGGGACCUUCGGGCCUCUUGCCAUCAGAUGUGCCCAGAUGGGAUUAGCUAGUUGGUGAGGUAA
rnacentral:rRNA from 9 species